rnacentral:ncRNA from 1 species
UAAUCGGCUGUGAAGAGAAAAGUAGCUGCUCUAUUUCAGAUUAGAGAGGUCCAUCUUAGGUGAAAUUGGAUCGCUGAACGGAGUAAGUGAAAGUAGUCUCUGAGCCGCAAACGCGAGAGUGAUUUAGUGUUUGCUGGGUGCGCCCAUUACAGCGCCAGUGUAUCGCGGAAUUUCCGCCGUACAUGAUGAGACAAUGGCUGUGAGGUCGUUGUGAAGCUGGGUGGUACCACGAAUUCUAAAUCAAUUCGUCCCUUGA